UGGGGAAUCUUCCGCAAUGGACGAAAGUCUGACGGAGCAACGCCGCGUGAGUGAAGAAGGUUUUCGGAUCGUAAAGCUCUUUCGUUAGGGACGAACGUGCUCUUUGUGGAUAAUGAGGAGUAAUGACGGUACCUAAAUAAGAAGCCACGGCUAACUACGUGCCAGCAGCCGCGGUAAUACGUAGGUGGCAAGCGUUGCCCGGAAUUAUUGGGCGUAAAGCGCGCGCAGGCGGGAUAUCAAGUCUGUCUUAAAAGUGCGAGGCUCAACCUCGUGAGGGGACAGAAACUGGUAUUCUUGAGUGUCGGAGAGGAAAGUGGAAUUCCAAGUGUAGCGGUGAAAUGCGUAGAGAUUUGGAAGAACACCAGUGGCGAAGGCGACUUUCUGGACGAUGUCUGGCGCUGAGGCGCGAAAGCUAGGGGAGCGAACGG
rnacentral:rRNA from 1 species